rnacentral:rRNA from 1 species
AGGACGAACGCUGGCGGCGUGCCUAACACAUGCAAGUGGAGCGACGAACCAGGCUUCGGCCUGGGGCAAAGCCGCGAACGGGUGAGUAACACGUGGGUAACCUGCCCCGAUGAUUGGGACAACCCGAGGAAACUCGGGCUAAUACCAAAUGUGACCUCCGACCGUAAGGUUGAUGGGGAAAGGAAGCUUCGGCCUCCGCAUUGGGAUGGGCCCGCGGCCCAUUAGCUUGUUGGUGAGGUAACGGCUCACCAAGGCGACGAUGGGUAGCUGGUCUGAGAGGACGACCAGCCACACUGGAACUGAGGCACGGCCCAGACUCCUACGGGAGGCAGCAGUGAGGAAUUUUCCGCAAUGGGCGAAAGCCUGACGGAGCGACGCCGCGUGUGGGAUGAAGGCCUUCGGGUCGUAAACCACUGUCGAAGGGGAAGAUAUUGACGGUACCCUUGGAGGAAGCCCCGGCUAACUACGUGCCAGCAGCCGC